rnacentral:SRP_RNA from 1 species
GCCGGGCAUGGUGGUGUGCGCCUGUAAUCCCAGCUACUUGGGAGGCUGAGGCAGGAGAAUUGCUUGAGCCCAGGAGGUGGAGGUUGCAGUGAGCUGAGAUCGCACUACUGCACUCCAGCCUGGGCAUCAGAGCAAGACUCCGUCUCAA